rnacentral:rRNA from 1 species
UGCCAGCCGCCGCGGUAAUACGGAGGGUGCAAGCGUUAUCCGGAUUUAUUGGGUUUAAAGGGUGCGCAGGCGGCGCAUUAAGUCAGUGGUGAAAUUAUGAGGCUCAACCUCAUAACUGCCAUUGAUACUGAUGUGCUUGAAUUUAUUCGACGAGAGAGGAAUGCGACAAGUAGCGGUGAAAUGCAUAGAUAUGUCGCAGAACACCGAUAGCGAAGGCAUCUCUCGAGGAUAUAAUUGACGCUGAGGCACGAAAGCGUGGGUAGCAAACAGGAUUAGAUA